CCUGCCCCUAGAGGCACUACCAGUGUGGCUGCUGUGUCGCAUAAGUGUCAGUAGGUGGCAGAGAGGAGAGAGGCUGUGUCUACAUUCUGUGAUCUGACCUAUGAACAUCUGAAUGAUUCAUAGCCUAACAUU